rnacentral:rRNA from 1 species
CGUGAGGUGUUGGGUUAAGUCCCGCAACGAGCGCAACCCCUGUGGCUAGUUACUAUCCGUAAGGAAGCACUCUAGCCAGACUGCCUGUGAUAAGCAGGAGGAAGGUGGGGAUGACGUCAAGUCAGUAUGGUCCUUAUGUCCAGGGCUGCACACGUGCUACAAUGAUCAGUACAGAAGGAAGCAAGACCGCGAGGUGGAGCCAAUCCCCAAAACUGAUCACAGUUCGGAUUGGAGUCUGAAACUCGACUCCA